GGAGGCGAAUGCUUCGGGUUCUCAAGGACAGUCGGCGGGCAGGUAUUCUAGCCUUGAUGUAGUUCCUGUGGUUGGUUUGCAUUUGUUUUCUCUGUUGCCUGAAUCCCUGGCCAUUUCUCUGCCUCUGUAGCUGUGGAGCUGAAGGAGGCUCACUUCUCUGGACUAUGUUCUUAUGAAGUGACUGCUGACAGAAAGCCCCUGGAGGAAAGGAGAGGUUGUCUGCUGAGGGAGCUGCUGAGCUGGCACUAUCAAGAAAUGGAAGUGUUGAGAGGCUGCAGGGUGUGGUAGGAAUGGUGCCACUGGAGUUUGCCAUGCAAGAGAGGGAGGUACAGCCAGCCAGUCCAAAGACAGUUCAGUAGGAACUGCCUGUGGACCCAGAGAGUACAUAACAAACAGUAUGGUCUUGCCCUUCCAUGCGCUGGAUUCCUACUCUGUUGAGCAUACAUUACUGUGAGGCCAAAUGCAUGCUUGGCAAGUGUUUGUGGUUUAAGAGAACACUGAGAAGACUUCUUUGAGUAGUUCAUUCAAGCGAGAAGGUGAUAUUAAUUAUGGGCUGACAUGAUGGGAAAGUCAUUGAAACCUACAGAAGCACUCAUCAUCAUCUAGAAGAUUUUGGAUCAGGUUCU